GGUCUGGAACCUCAGUAUGUGUGGCUGCAGCGCAGGCAGGUAGGGUGUCCCCGGUCUGGAACCUCAGUAUGUGUGGCUGCAGCGCAGGCAGGUAGGGUGUCCCCGGUCUGGAAGCUGGCCGCUUCAGGCGCGUUCCCUCCCUCCUUCCCAUACUCCGCAGGUCUGGAUGUAUUGUCGCCUGUACCGCACUUUCGAGCGCUUCCACCGCGCGCAGCUUCUGGACGCAGCGAAAGCAGGUACCCCCUUCCUGCCUAUCUCCAAGUGACCCAAUCCGUGUUUACUCAACAGGGCACAUGUGCGGAUCUCAUGCUUCUAGAGGGGUCUAGAAGCAGCGAAGGACUGGGGAGGCUCAAGGGCGGUGUGUGUGGGGUAUGCCGGCCUUACUCCUGGCAUGCUAACCCCCCAACCUCCAGGUGGUGAGUUCUUGCUGCGUUACGCCCGAGUGGCACCUCCUAGCAAGAAGUGUGCCUUUGUGCUGACUCGGGACGGCCGCCCGGUCAAGGUGCAGCGGACCAUCUUCAGCGAGUGUUUCUACACCAUGGCCAUGGACGAGCUGUGGAGGACCACAGGGGAAGCACGGUACCAGACGGAAGCGGUGGAGAUGAUGGAUCAGAUUGUCCACUGGGUACGGGAGGACGCGUCAGAACUGGGCCGGCCCCAGCUCCAGGGGGCCCCAGCCGUGGAGCCCAUGGCAGUGCCCAUGAUGCUGCUGAACCUGGUGGAGCAGCUCGGGGAGGCGGACGAGGGGCUGGCGGGCAAAUAUGCGGAGCUGGGGGACUGGUGCGCCCGGAGGAUUCUGCAACACGUGCAGGUGGGGGACCACUGGGGAGCUGGGGUGGCGGGAGGCCCUCCACUCCUCCACUCCCCCACUCCCCCUCUCCCCGGGGUGCCCUGGGGCUUUACACACUGGGAGAGACAGAGAUUAGGGGAGGUCCCCGCCUGGGGAAGGUGGAGGGCCCGAGGGUGGGAGGGAGG
rnacentral:lncRNA from 1 species